UACGAAGGAUGCAAGCGUUAUCCGGAUUUAUUGGGUUUAAAGGGUGCGUAGGCGGACUUAUAAGUCAGUGGUGAAAUCUCGUUGCUUAACAACGAACGUGCCAUUGAUACUGUAGGUCUUGAGUACAGAUGCCGUUGGCGGAAUGUGUCAUGUAGCGGUGAAAUGCAUAGAUAUGACACAGAACACCGAUUGCGAAGGCAGCUGACGAAACUGUAACUGACGCUGAGGCACGAAAGCGUGGGGAUCAAAACGG
rnacentral:rRNA from 1 species